GAUGAAGAACGCAGCGAAAUGCGAUACGUAAUGUGAAUUGCAGAAUUCAGUGAAUCAUCGAGUCUUUGAACGCACAUUGCGCCCCCUGGUAUUCCGGGGGGCAUGCCUGUCCGAGCGUCAUUGCUGCCCUCAAGCACGGCUUGUGUGUUGGGCCUCCGUCCUCCUCCCGGGGGACGGGCCCGAAAGGCAGCGGCGGCACCGCGUCCGGUCCUCGAGCGUAUGGGGCUUCGUCACCCGCUCUUGUAGGCCCGGCCGGCGCUUGCCGACACAUCAAUCUUUUUUCCAGGUUGACCUCGAAUCAGGUAGGACUACCCGCUGAACUUAAGCAUAUCAAUAAGCGGAGGA
rnacentral:misc_RNA from 1 species